rnacentral:misc_RNA from 1 species
AACAAGGCGUACCUGCGGACUGCGGAAGGAUCAUUACAAGUGACCCCGGUCUAACCACCGGGAUGUUCAUAACCCUUUGUUGUCCGACUCUGUUGCCUCCGGGGCGACCCUGCCUUCGGGCGGGGGCUCCGGGUGGACACUUCAAACUCUUGCGUAACUUUGCAGUCUGAGUAAACUUAAUUAAUAAAUUAAAACUUUCAACAACGGAUCU